UGAAUGGAAAGAGAGGACAGGUCGAGAGCGUGGAUCUGCCGAACAUCAGUAGUCACUCACAGAACCGCAGAAUUGAUUCAUUUCUAAACUUAAUUGGAAUUCCAGGAUGCGGGCUGUACGCAACUGACCUUCAAAUCCUUUUUGGAUUGUGUUGCCAAUACAUUUGACAUUCCAACAAGACCUUGGUGUGCUGGAGAUUUGUUUACCCCAAGACCCAAAUCCUGAUGAUUCUUUGAGUUCCUCUGCAAGCAGCUCCUUAUCAAAAUACAGUGGAGACAAUGAGGGGGACUCCGAUGACACCAUUAUAUUGCAGCAGAUUCCUGCUACAAGAAAGACGGCUGGAGAUAAUCGUCUAUCUCAUGUGAACACAGAGCGCUUUGAGUCUGAGACCAGGGUGAUAUAAACCAUGUGGAGGGAGGCUGGCCCAAGGACGUCAACCCCCAGGAGAUGGAGCAGACUGUCCGCUUCAGGAAGAAAGUGGAGAAAGACAAGCAUUAUUUCAGCACCAUCAUGCAGCUGGGCAGUGCAUGACAGACAUCAGCCAGUCAAGUAGCCACGAUAUGACCUGGGUCAUAGAGAUUUUCAAUUCAAUCCUAUUUUAUUGAAUUAAUCACUAGUGUAUGACAUUAUGCCAUAUCUAAAUAAUACGUCCUAUAGCAGCAUACCACCCUGAAUCCCACUGAUGUCUUUCCUCUGAGGCUACAGUAAACAGGGUUGGUCCUGGUCGGUCCAUAGAUGGGAGACCAGAUGCUGCUGGAUGUGGUGUUGGAGGGCCAGUAGGAGGCACUGUUUUCUCUGAUAACAUUUUUGGGGGGGACAUUGCCCUGUGUAAGUUGCUGUCUUUUGGAUGGAACAUUAAAUGGGUGUCCUGACUCUCUGUGGUCAGUAAGAAUCCCAUGGCACUUAUCGUAAGAGUAUGGGUGUUAACGGGCCCUGAAUCUAGGUUGUCGCUGUAAAUAAGAAUUUGGUUUUAACUGACUUGCCUAGUUAAAUAAAACAUGUAAAAAGCCAUUUCUUAGCUGCUGCAGUAGUGUGAUAGAGAAAAUGACCAGUUCUGAAAGGGAGAGAGCAAGAAGAGUGUUCCUCUCUAUCUCUGAUCACAGCCCUCUGUUCCUCCCGUGUGAACACAGAACAUGGAGCACAGCAUCAAGCAGAACAAUGCCAUCAACAUCUACUGGGAGUACUUUGAAGGGGAGGAGGAGGUGGUGGUGGUGGAGUCAAAACCAUCAAUGUUUUUAAGUGCUUCCAUGACCUCUAUUAACCUAUCGUCCAACAUAGAAUCCACAAAUGAUGUAUAUUACCAGUGUAUUGUGUCCGUCUGAUUGGUUUUUGAUCUUACAGAAACCCGAACCAGAUAAAACACACUGCCACCAGUCUGUCCUGGCAUCCCGAUGGCAGCCGCAAGCUGGCUGUGGCCUACUCCUCAUUGGAGUUCCUGGAAGUCUCUUAAGACAUUAGCUACAACUCUGAUAUAUGGAACAUUGUUAGGUGUAUGACUCAAACAUCUCUUUCAUUUAUAUUUUCCUUUCUAACAGGGAUUAUCAUUGCAAUAGCUGUGGCAGUGAGAUUUACUAAUUUUUCAUCUUAAUUGAUAGUUCAGAAAGUCAGUGGACUACAAAGUAUUAAUUAAUUGAAUCCCCUGUGUUGCCUCUUCAGAGAAUAGCAAUAAGCCAGAAAUGACCCUAAAACCUGUCUCCACUGGUCUGUCUGGAAUACAACCCCCCAAAGACUCUCACAUCCUGGUCGGAGGUAGCUACAAUGGCCAGAUCAGUGGGUCCUUCAACAGCUGUAUCAUGCUUCCUGCCAGCUCAGGAACAAUGUCCUUAGGAGAUUACUGUGCAGUGUAAAGAACUUUGGAGACCUGGUCUCAUGUAACCAAAAGGCCAAGAGCCCACCUGCACGUACAGCGGUCCUCACGGCCCAAUCUACACCCUGCAAAAGAACCCGUUCUUAAGAACUUCCUGACCGUAGCCGAUUGGAAAGCCCAUAUCUGGUCCGAAGACAUCAUGUGGACAAAAUCACAUACAGUCUAUCUGUCAGAAGGCUGAUGGAGUCCAGUACAGCCCUCUGUGUUCUUCACCAUCAAAAUGGACCGAAUACUCGACAUUUGGGACUUCCUCUUCAAACAGAACGACCCCACACUCAGUAUGUGAUGAGGCUCUGUACAGCCAGAAGGUGCAGGAUAAUGGGUGCUUCCUGGCAUGUGGACACCAAGGAGGGCGACGGAGAGGAGAGUACCGAGGAGCUAGUAAUGCACACUUGAAAAAGAGAAGUGGAAGAAAAAAAAGUUAAGGGAUUGAGUGAACAAAACAAACGUUUUCAAAAUUCCUUGACAUGAAUUAUUUUUUUUACAAAUCCAGUCAGUUUUUCACACUGAUCCAAUGUCAUCAUAAUGAUUUCUGUUUUGAAAUGAUGUGUAAAAUGUUGAUUCAACCAGUUUGUGCCCAGUGGGUUAUUAUUAAUCAUUUAUACUCUGUGGUAUGACUGAAUUAGUUGGCUAUUUCAUUAGGAUAACAAGCAACACCACCCUUCAAUAGCAUUCAUCUGGCAAUACAUUCACAUCAGGUGGCCUAUAUACAGUAACAGCAUGAACUCCAAAACGGUGUUCUGUGCACCA